UGGAAAGUAACUCAGCCGGUUAGAGUGCCGUUCUUAUAAAGCGGUGGUCGAGAGUUCGAGUCUCUCCUUUCCAACCA
rnacentral:tRNA from 2 species